CAGCGCCACGGUAAUACGGAGGGUGCAAGCGUUAAUCGGAAUUACUGGGCGUAAAGCGCACGCAGGCGGUCUGACAAGUCAGAUGUGAAAUCCCCGGGCUUAACCUGGGAACUGCAUUUGAAACUGUCAGGCUAGAGUCUUGUAGAGGGGGGUAGAAUUCCAGGUGUAGCGGUGAAAUGCGUAGAGAUCUGGAGGAAUACCGGUGGCGAAGGCGGCCCCCUGGACAAAGACUGACGCUCAGGUGCGAAAGCGUGGGGAGCAAACAGGAUUAGAUACCCGGGUAGUCCCUGUCUCUUAUACA
rnacentral:rRNA from 1 species